CGGUGGUCGACCUCCAGUUGCGGACUUCCUAAAAGGCGGUCAAUAGUUUGCCCUUUUAGAUCGUUAGGCAAAAUCUCUACUUCAGAAUGUGCCGUUGGGAUUUGCAAGGUCCCAUUUGAGCUCCUUGGGGCCUGAUAACUAAAGUUCAUGUUUGGAUGGAUAAAAAGUACCCGUCAUGUCUCUAUGUUAAAAGGACCAAAAGUCACUAGAUUAGACUGUGCAACAUAAGGGAUGGAAUAUAAAAGAUGUGUCGGGAACAGAAGAUUAAGAAGGGGACUAAAGUGGUGGUGCAGAUGAUUAAAAAAUCUCCUCCCGUUUUCAAAGUGACAGAUUAUCAGACUUUGUGUAAAACAUCAGCUAGCGUUUCGGUAUCAUUUCUAGCAAGCUAACUUCUGAUGUGUCUAUUCUACAACUUUUUGUGUGUAA